AUUGAACGCUGGCGGCAGGCCUAACACAUGCAAGUCGAGCGGAGCGGCGGACGGGUGAGUAAUGCCUAGGAAUCUGCCUGGUAGUGGGGGAUAACGUCCGGAAACGGGCGCUAAUACCGCAUAUUGUCAGAUGAGACUGGUUCGGAUUAGCUAGUUGGUGGGGUAAGGGCCUACCAAGCUGACGAUCCGUACCUGGUCUGAGAGGAUGAUCAGUCACACUGGAACGGAGACACGGUCCAGACUCCUACGGGAGGCAGCAGUGGGGAAUCUUCGGCAAUGGGCGAAAGCCUGACCGAGCCAUGCCGCGUGUGUGAAGAAGGUCUUCGGAUUGUAAAGCACUUUAAGUUGUGAGGCGUUAUCAACAGAAAAAGCACCGGCUAACUUCGUGCCAGCAGCCGCGGUAAUUC
rnacentral:rRNA from 1 species